UUCUUUAUGUUAUGAUAUAAAGUAAGACCUGCUCAAUUAGCUUAAGUAAAUAGCCGCAGUUAAUCUGUGCUAAGGUAGCAUAAUCAUUUGCUUUUUAAUUAAAAGAUAGAAUGAAAGGUUAAACGAUUAAAUAUUAUGUCUAACAAACUAAUUAAUUUAAUAAAAUUGUAAAAAAUCAAUUAAAAAUAAAUGGGACGAUAAGACCCUAACAAACUUAACAUUUAGUUGGGGCGACAAUUCAAUAAUACCUUGAACAAUAAAUUAUACCAUCUUAAAUAUUAAACAAGAAUAGUUACUGUAGGGAUAACAGCGCUAUUUUUCUUAAGAGCUCUCAUCCAAAGAAAAGAUUACGACCUCGAUGUUGAAUUAAUUAGUCUUUGAGGCGCAAAAGCUAAAAAAGAUAGUCUGUUCGACUAAUAAUAAAUU
rnacentral:rRNA from 1 species